rnacentral:rRNA from 1 species
CAGGCCUUGACAUCCAAUGAACUUUCCAGAGAUGGAUUGGUGCCUUCGGGAGCAUUGAGACAGGUGCUGCAUGGCUGUCGUCAGCUCGUGUCGUGAGAUGUUGGGUUAAGUCCCGUAACGAGCGCAACCCUUGUCCUUAGUUACCAGCACGUUAUGGUGGGCACUCUAAGGAGACUGCCGGUGACAAACCGGAGGAAGGUGGGGAUGACGUCAAAUCAUCAUGCCCCUUAUGACCUGGGCUACACACGUACUACAAUGGUCGAUACAACGGGAAGCGAAGCCGCGAGGUGGAGCUAAUCCCACAAAACCGAUCGUAGUCCGGAUCGCAGUCUGCAACUCGACUGCGUGAAGUCGGAAUCGCUAGUAAUCGCGAAUCAGAAUGUCGCGGUGAAUACGUUCCC